ACGGAGUACAAGUACAAUUCAUUUUAGUAACAUUACACUUUAUAUGACUAUUUAAAUUUAAUAAAUGUUAGUGCUUYUGAUAAUAGUCCAAAAGAUAUAUCUAGUUUUGAGAGAACUUUCUCUCAUUUGUUCUUUGAAAACUGAAUAGUAAAGAUAAAUUAAUAUAACAACGACAUCAAUAAAUAAAUUAGUCAAUUUGUUUUGUGAUACCGAGUUAAUUAUUAUAUUAAUAUAAUAAUUUAUUAAAAUGUCUUUGAAUACAUCAACAAUAGGUAAAUAUUGAUAAC
rnacentral:misc_RNA from 1 species